rnacentral:tRNA from 1 species
GCUGACGUAGCUCAAUUGGCGGAGCAGUCGAUUUGUAAUCGACAGGUUACCGGUUCGAUUCCGGUCGUCAGCU